rnacentral:rRNA from 1 species
GAGUUUGAUCCUGGCUCAGGACGAACGCUGGCGGCGUGCUUAACACAUGCAAGUCGAGCGAUGAAGCUUCCUUCGGGAAGUGGAUUAGCGGCGGACGGGUGGGUAACACGUGGGCAACCUGCCUCAAAGAGGGGAAUAGCCCUCCGAAAGGAGGAUUAAUACCGCAUAAAGUUAGAGUUUCGCAUGAAACUUUAACCAAAGGAGUAAUCUGCUUUGAGAUGGGCCCGCGUCCCAUUAGCUAGUUGGUAAGGUAAUGGCUUACCAAGGCAACGAUGGGUAGCCGACCUGAGAGGGUGAUCGGCCACAUUGGAACUGAGACACGGUCCAGACUCCUACGGGAGGCAGCAGUGGGGAAUAUUGCGCAAUGGGGGAAACCCUGACGCAGCAACGCCGCGUGGGUGAUGAAGGUUUUCGGACCGUAAAACCCUGUUUUCUGGGACGAUAAUGACGGUACCAGAUGAGGAAGCCACGGCUAACUACGUGCGAGCAGCCGCGGUAAUAC